GGAGAGAUGGCUCAGUGGUUAAGAGCACUGACUGCUCUUCCAGAGGUCUUGAGUUCAAGCCUCAGAAACCACA
rnacentral:tRNA from 1 species